GCUCAGCGCUGCCAUCUUCGCGCGCGCGCGCCCGCUAAGCCCCGCCCACCCCCCGCUAAGCCCCGCCCACAAGCGCGCGCGCGCGAAAAAGAGGCGUGGUUUUUUCCCGCGUGACACGUGACCGGAUAAUGGGCGGGGAUUAAAGGAGCGGUGGUGGGGGGGGGACCCUGAUUUUGGGGUGAAAAGAGGCAAUUUUGGGGGUGAAGUGGGUCCAUAUUUGGGGGGGAGAUGACUGUGAUGGGGGUCAAGGGAUCCAAUGUGAGAAAAGACCCCGUUUUGGGGUGAAAAGAGCCCAUUUUGGGGACAAAGACCCCAAUUUUGGGACAAGAAGCUCCAUUUUGGGGCCCAAACCCCCCAUUUUGGGGCCAAAACCCCCAUUUUGGGGCCAAAACCCCCCAUUUUGGGGCCAAAACCCCCAUUUGGGGGCCAAAACCCCCCAUUUUGGGACAAGAAGCUCCAUUUUGGGGCAAAACAUCUCCAUUUUGGGGCCCAAACCCCCCAUUUUGGGUAUAGAAUACCCCAUUUUGGUGACAAAAACCCCCAUUUUGGGGCCAAAAACCCCCAUUUUGGGACAAGAGGCUCCAUUUUGGGGACAAAAACCCCCAUUUUGGGGCCAAAACCCCUCAUUUUGGGACAAGAAGCUCCAUUUUGGGGCAAAAAGUCUCCAUUUUGGGGCCCAAACCCCCCAUUUUGGGUAUAGAAGACCCCAUUUUGGGGCCAAAACCCCCCAUUUUGGGUAUAGAAGACCCCAUUUUGGGGCCAAAACCCCCAUUUGGGGGCCAAACCCCCCCAUUUGGGGGCCAAAAACCCCCCAUUUUGGGUAUAGAAGACCCUAUUUUGGGUAUAGAAGACCCCAUUUUGGGGCCAAAACCCCCCAUUUUGGGUAU
rnacentral:lncRNA from 1 species